rnacentral:rRNA from 1 species
GAGUUUGAUCAUGGCUCAGAUUGAACGCUGGCGGUAUGCUUAACACAUGCAAGUCGAACGGUAGGAUGUAGCUUGCUAUAUCCGAGAGUGGCGGACGGGUGAGGAACGCGUAGGAAUCUGUCUAAUAGUCUGGGACAACCCGGGGAAACUCGUGCUAAUACUGGAUAAGUUCUGAGGAAGAAAGCUGGGUUUAGGCCUGGUGCUAUUGGGUGAGCCUGCGUUGGAUUAGCUAGUUGGUGGGGUAAAGGCCUACCAAGGCGACGAUCCAUAGCUGUUCUGAGAGGAAGACCAGCCACACUGGGACUGAGACACGGCCCAGACUCCUACGGGAGGCAGCAGUGGGGAAUAUUGGACAAUGGGCGGAAGCCUGAUCCAGCAAUACCGCGUGUGUGAAGAAGGCCUGAGGGUUGUAAAGCACUUUCAGCGAGGAGGAAGUGUUGUUGGUUAAUAGCCAAUAAUGUUUGACGUUACUCGCAGAAGAAGCACCGGCUAACUCUGUGCCAGCCGCC